rnacentral:rRNA from 1 species
UACGAAGGGGGCUAGCGUUGCUCGGAAUCACUGGGCGUAAAGCGCACGUAGGCGGAUUGUUAAGUCAGGGGUGAAAUCCUGGAGCUCAACUCCAGAACUGCCUUUGAUACUGAAGAUCUUGAGUUCGGGAGAGGUGAGUGGAACUGCGAGUGUAGAGGUGAAAUUCGUAGAUAUUCGCAAGAACACCAGUGGCGAAGGCGGCUCACUGGCUCGAUACUGACGCUGAGGUGCGAAAGCGUGGGGAGCAAACAGG